GCUAAGUGUGCCCUGUCUCUGUAUGGGUGGCAAUUGUACUCCUCUUGGGCUGUCACUGGUUGUUUGAAGGGGUAUGGCUGUAGACACAGCUAGUGCCAGGCUGCUUAUAUCUGGUGUAUGGAAUGAGCUGAGCCAUGCUGUCUGUGUUCCUGUGAUUUCUAGACAAGGCAAAGCAGCUGGAGCUGGUGAUAAGGAUCUGGCUGUGAUUUGGGAUCUGCAGCUUGGAGAUGGAAUUACAACACUGAUGGUCCUAAGUGCAAGCCUAAACUGUAGCACACUCCUUAGGGCUGAUCUGAGGCGAUGUUUGAAGACUGACUUACAAACCUGUGCUGGGAACGCUGCCUGGGUGGCACUCUGACAUGCAGGCAGAAGUGGAGUGCGGGUACCUUAAUGUAGUUCUGCUGAAAGCAAUGUUCAACUGUCCUGCUGCUUUUAAGCAGGGGAUUAGUGCUUACUAUUGUCUGUCCCUUUUAUUUGCAAUUCUCCUCAUGUUCAAAAUAUUUUUAUUUCAGGAUUUUUCCCUUAGUUUCCAGCCAUGUUAUCUGUAUGUUUAUACAUUUGAUUGUCCAGAGUUUUCAGUUCUGCGAUGCCCUUUACAAACUCCUAAAAAUGUCAGUGGCUAAGAUAUUGAAUUCAUGUGGGUGUUCAUUUCUUUUGUUGUUGUUUUCGUUUUCCAGUCUUAUACAUCAGCAGGAGAACUUAAUGUAUAGUGAAUCACUCCUUAGUCAUUUUAAUUAGCACGUGGUUCCUCAACUUCCCAAGUGCUGACAGCUAGUUCUUUCUGCCAUGUACCUUGUGGGACCUUGCUAUGGUGAUGCUUCAUUCUUCUGAUGCUGACUGAUGGGCUCUUGUGUCUGACUGCGACUGUUCUGUUACUGUACAAUGCUGUCCUUUCACCCCUUGCUGCUGAUUGCAGCUCUGCCAACCUGAACCCCCUCAGCUGCUGUACUUCCAGCCACCCACACUUCUCAUCCUAUGCAUGGGAGAGAUGCAGUGCAGUGCAGCACUGGAACAUGGAGUGAUCGUAAUCACAGGCACAGUGCAUACCUGCAGUGUCACUGCUGAGCUCUCACCUGCUAUGAACCAUUAAAACUGGGCGCCUAAUAUUUUUAUAGCAUUUACUCAGAUUACUCAGAUGGCAUGUAUAUGAAUAUUAAGGUAGAUAUCAGUAGUAUGUUUAUACAUACUAAUUUUAACUUUAGAGAAAGAAAUAGCAGAAUAUGAGGAACAUUAUAGAAGGGUUUUCAUUGUUAAUAAUCUAAAACUUCAGAAUUGCAGCUUUACACUUGUGUUGUAGAUUUCAUUCCAGAAAGCACUGUUGUUUUAUAGAAAAGAUCUAGCUUUAGAAGGAUUUUUAGAGAAGUUUUUGGAUGCUUAAAACUUUAGUAAUCCUGAAGACCUACAGAUUAUGUAUUGCUGUUACUGGUGAUUUUAGUUUCUUACAUUAACCAUAUUGUAUGGCUUUUCUUUUUAGAGAACAGAAAAUUGUUAAUUGUUUUUCAAAACAAUGCACAUCUUCCAGCUUCUCCUGCUACUUUAAAGUUUUCAUAUUGACUAGAAACAUACACAGCUGAAAAAGUAGCAGCAUGGAUUUAGACCUUUUCUAGAAUAUGGAAUUUUUGUGAAUUGUGUCCAUUAAAAUAUUUUAUUUACCUUAUAUCCUUCUGAACUGUUAUGGACUAGCAGCCCUUUAAGGGCGAAAAAAAUAGAAGGAAAAUUCAACCUCUAUCAUUGUUCAGUUGGCUAAAUAUAUAUAAAGCAUUUCUAGUAAAAGAAACUCCUCUAUUGAAUCUACCACAUUAAACAAACAUUUAUCCUAGCAUUUAACUCAUAGGUAACAAAUGAAGUGUAGGAAAGCCAGCGGACUCAAGUUAUUCAGUGUAGAAAGGAAGCAAGCUCUGCAGCAGAUUUAACUAAUCUACACUUCCUUGUUCUUUUGUACUUCACCACUCAUUAUCUUGUAGUAGAUAAGAAAGAGUUUAUAAUAACCUGAGCUUUAUGAAGAUGUCCAAAAAUAUUUGGCCUAUGUCACUUUUCAUCAAAAAGGAUAAAAAUCCGGCAUUUAACAUAUGCUCACUUUUUUGCACAUAUAUACCUUAGAACGUUUCAUGUUUCUAGUUUAUUAAAAGAUAGCCAUAAUAUAGUAGCAUGACCCUUUCAGUCUAUUACUCUUCAAGUUGAUUUGGUCUCAGCUUUUAUAUUAGAUGUAACAAAUACAUUUCUUCUGAAGUAUUUCUGUUCUUGCUACAUGCAGCACAUUUCACCAGUGGCUUUAAUACAUGCAAACCAAGUUAUCUAAUUUUAUUUUAAAGAUAGAGGCUUGAAUAGGAGUAUAAAACUAAGGACUUGCAAAAAUAUGAAAUUAUGUCAAAGAUUGUAAUCCACUGGCAUGUUACUUUUUAUGUAUAGCCAAGCUUUAACUUGUGCAACACAAAAAUGAUAGCUUAUAUUGUCCUUUUGAACGUGGUGCAGUCAAGGUUUUUUCCUUCUCAAACCAUACACACAAGCACACUGUUAUUACUUUUUUCCUUUCCUGCCCAAUUUGUACCCUUCAUAACAAAAUAUCAGCCUUAGCCUGCCACACAGUCAUUUCUCUGCUGUGACAGCACAGAGGAAAGAGCAAAGGGGUAGCUAGCAAGGGAAAUCCCUGACACCAGUCAACUGGCUCAAUAGAGUUCUGCCUGCAAACUGCAUGGGAAAAGAUGAAUUGUUUGCACAGAAAGAAUAGACAGAGAAGGUCAGAGAAGCUGUGGAAAACUUACUCGACUUUGUUCUCUCAAUGCGGGAUGGGAAGCUGCUAUGCAGAUCUUUCAGGAUGUAAAUCUGUAAGGUAGCACUGCAACAGCUUUCAGAGGCAGACUAAGCCAUAAAUUUUACAGGACCCCUUAUCCAUCAAACACUGGGGUAGAAAAAG